ensembl:lncRNA
UAUUGUCACCACUUCUACAUCUUCUGUUAAUAUUUGUAAAAUUGUUAGAAUUAGUCUGUACUAUGUUUGAAUUCGUUAUAUUUACCAUUGAUAUAUAUUUAUUAUCAUUAAUAUUAUUGUUAUUAUGAAAUGUAUUGAUAAUUGAAAAAUUGUAAUUGUUUUUAUGGUUUAAUAAUUCAAAAUAAGGAUAUGUUUGUUUUGUUAUAUGUGGAAAAAAGUUAUUUGUAUGAUUAUUUAAUUGUUGAUUGUUAAUAAAAUUUGGAUAUACUUUUAUAUUAUCGUCAUAUUUAUUAAUAAAAUUGUUUUUAUAGGUAUUAUCUAUGUUUCCAUUAUAUAUGUUAUAAGUACUAUUAUCCUUCUCUCUUAUAUACAAUUUAUUACUAAAUUUCAUCUUACUAACAUUUUGAGACAUAAAUGAAUUAUUAUUGUUUUUCUUAGAAGGUAUACAUAAAUCAUCUGACCUUGUUCUUCUAUUGUAAGGCAUAAUAAAAUUUUGUUUAUAAAAUGAUUUUUUUUUUUUUUAUUAAUUGUAUUUGUAUGGUUGUUAUAACCAUUUUCAGCUUGUGUGUUGUUAUAAGUUGACAUAGACAUGUUGCUAUAUUGUAUAAAAUUGUAUGAAUUGUCAUCUACACUUUUAUGAUCAUACAAUUUAUCAUACUUAUUGAUAGCUCUGAUAUUGUCAUUAGUUUUGUCAAUAGUUUUGUCAUUUUUUUUGUCAUUUUUUUUGUCAUUUUUUUUGUCAUUUNNNNNNNNNNUUUUUUUUAAAUGAUUUUCUAAACUAACAUCUACAGUUUGUAUUUUAUUUUUUCCCUUUACAACGUUAUUUAUAUGUGUUGUUUCGUAUUCUGGAUUAUUUAUUUGUAUGUUAUUUUGAACCGAGAUAAUACAUUUAUCAUUAUUGUUACCAUUAUUGUUACCAUUGUCGUUACCAUUGUCGUUACCAUUGUCGUUACCAUUGUCGUUGUCAUUGUCGUUGCCACUUGUGUUGUCGCAGUUAUUUAUAUUAUUGCGAUUAUUAUUACUAUUAUUUUUUUUUUUUGCCUUUUUUUUUUUUUUUUUUUGUUUUUUCUUUUCACAUAUGUAAAUUGCUUUUAUAUUGAUUAUUUUUUGAUAUAUCUAAUAGCAUUUUUUUUUUUUUUUUUUUUAUUAAUAUGGCUAAACUAGUUCACGUGCUACUGUUAAUGUUUUACAUAUAUAUAUAUAUAUAUAUAUAUAUUUCUCUCUUAGCUUGUGUUCAUAUAUGUUUAUAAAAAACGUAUUGUUAUUACUAUAAUUAUAUAGAUUUUUUCCCUAGUACUGUAAUCUUACUUUUUUUUUAAAUAAUAUAUACUUAUUUUUGUUACUAGUGUUACUGACUCUUUCUUUUAGGGGCCAAAGUGCACAUCUUUAUAAUUUCUUAAAAUCAGUUAUAUUUAUAAAAAAAAAAAAAAAUCAAAAAAUUAAUCUUGUACAUAGACAAAUAGGUUGCUUAUAUAUAUCCAUUAAGUGUUAAAGUCAAAAUGAAAAUGAGUAUCUUUUUAUUUUUUAUAAUUUUAGUACCAUCUUUUAUUAUAGAUCAUGUAAUAGAAAAAAAGAAACUUGUAAUAAUAACAUAAAAAAAAAAAAGCUAGCAAAAAAAAAAAAAGAGCUAGCAAUAAAAAAAAAAAACUAGCAAUAAAAAAAAAAACU